CAUGGCAAGUCGAGCGGACCGACGGGAGCUUGCUCCCUUAGGUCAGCGGCGGACGGGUGAGUAACACGUGGGUAACCUGCCUGUAAGACUGGGAUAACUCCGGGAAACCGGGGCUAAUACCGGAUGCUUGAUUGAACCGCAUGGUUCAAUCAUAAAAGGUGGCUUUUAGCUACCACUUACAGAUGGACCCGCGGCGCAUUAGCUAGUUGGUGAGGUAACGGCUCACCAAGGCGACGAUGCGUAGCCGACCUGAGAGGGUGAUCGGCCACACUGGGACUGAGACACGGCCCAGACUCCUACGGGAGGCAGCAGUAGGGAAUCUUCCGCAAUGGACGAAAGUCUGACGGAGCAACGCCGCGUGAGUGAUGAAGGUUUUCGGAUCGUAAAACUCUGUUGUUAGGGAAGAACAAGUACCGUUCGAAUAGGGCGGUACCUUGACGGUACCUAACCAGAAAGCCACGGCUAACUACGUG
rnacentral:rRNA from 1 species